UCCCUGGUAGCUCAGCUGGUAAAGAAUCUGCCUACAAUGCAGGAGACCCUGGUUUGAUUCCUGGGUCAGGGAG
rnacentral:tRNA from 1 species